AUACAGAGGGUGCGAGCGUUAAUCGGAAUUACUGGGCGUAAAGCGCGCGUAGGCGGUCUAUUAAGUCAGAUGUGAAAUCCCAGGGCUCAACCUUGGAACUGCAUCUGAUACUGGUAGACUAGAGUUUUGGAGAGGGAAGUAGAAUUUCAGGUGUAGCGGUGAAAUGCAUAGAGAUCUGAAGGAAUACCAGUGGCGAAGGCGGCUUCCUGGCCUAAAACUGACGCUGAGGUGCGAAAGCGUGGGUAGCAAACGGGAUUAGAAACCCCAGUAGUCC
rnacentral:rRNA from 1 species